CUGGGCUGUGUCCCAAGGUAUUUCCCCCUGGUUAUCUCCCUGGUCUGUGUACCAAGGUAUUUCCCCCUGGUUAUCUCCCUGGGCUGUGUCCCAAGGGCCUUCCCCCUGGUUAUCUCCCUGGGCUGUGUCCCAAGGUAUUUCCCCCUGGUUAUCUCCCUGGUCUGUGUACCAAGGGCCUUCACCUGGUUAUCUUCCUGGGCUGUGUACCAAGGGCCUUCCCCCUGGUUAUCUCCCUGGGCUGUCUCCCAAGGUAUUUCCCCCUGGUUAUCUCCCUGGGCUGUGUCCCAAGGUAUUUCCCCCUGGUUAUCUCCCUGGUCUGUGUCCCAAGGUAUUUCCCCCUGGUUAUCUCCCUGGUCUGUGUCCCAAGGUAUUUCUCCCUGGUUAUCUCCCUGGGCUGUGUCCCAAGGUAUUUCCCCCUGGUUAUCUCCCUGGUCUGUGUCCCAAGGAUGGAGAAUCAGGAUGCAACCAGGGUCUCUGGAGUCUGACCGGAUAGAGCCUAAAUCACCCUGUGGAUCUCCUGACAGUGACAGUAGAUGUACUGACAUGAAGAAUUCAUGUGUUCAUGUGAUGGGAUUUUAACUCCACUCCAGAAGCCUCACAUCGAUUAACAACACGCAGUGGGUGGGCUUCAUAAAUCAUAUGAUUUUAUACUGCCCUCGGGUAUCAGGCCGUGCAAUCACACAGGCUACAUCCCAAAUGGCGCCCUAUUCCCUAUAAAGUGCACUCUCUAAGCCGUGGUCAACGGUAGUGCCCUAUGUAGGUAAUGAGGUGCCCUUCGGGACGUAAUCACACUGACCUAUUCAGCAGCGGUCUGUGGUCUUCUUAAAACAGAAUCAACAUUCCCUCAUCCUAGAGCUCCUAAAGACUGUCUGGUGUGGACAUUACAAGGCAGCUUGGGAACUUAAUAACAGCUUAUCUGUACGUAAGGGAAACUCCUGACAUAUGUACAGGUACCCGCAAGUAAAGUGAAUUACUGCCACAAACGUAUUAACGUUUAAGCGUCUUCAUCUACUCUUCUCUGUUCCUCUAAUGGGAUGCCCUUAUUGCUGUUUCCGUACUGAAAGAGUCACGCCCUGAGAAAUGACAUCAUUCUUAGAGGAGUGGCCAUUCAUGUCAACGGUCAAAGUUGCAAGUUCACCGUUCUGUUCCCCUCCCUCAGUCUCUCGGUGCUCUUCGAAAGAAAGGAAAUUCCUCUCUACGCGCUGACACACAGAGAGACAGGCAGGCAGGCAGGCAGGCAGACAGACAGACAGACAGACAGGCAG
ensembl:lncRNA